GAAGAAGAGAGCUGUAUAGACGUGUGGAGGAGGAUGAGUACAUAAUAGGACGUAUCACGCAAGGAGGCGAGCCCGCCGUUUUUUUUGUAGUCAAUAGGGCUGUCUCAAAGAUUAAGCCAUGCAUGUCUAAGUAUAAGCACUCAUACUGUGAAACUGCGAAUGGCUCAUUAAAUCAGUUAUCGUUUAUUUGAUAGUACCUUACUACUUGGAUACCCGUGGUAAUUCUAGAGCUAAUACAUGCUAAAAACCCCAACUUCGGAAGGGGUGUGUUUAUUAGAUAAAAAACCAAUGCCCUUCGGGGCUGCUUGGUGAUUCAUGAUAACCAAACGAAUCGCAUGGCCUUGAGCCGGCGAUGGUUCAUUCAAAUUUCUGCCCUAUCAACUUUCGAUGGUAGGAUCUGGGCCUACCAUGGUAUCAACGGGUAACGGGGAAUUAGGGUUCGAUUCCGGAGAGGGAGCCUGAGAAACGGCUACCACAUCCAAGGAAGGCAGCAGGCGCGCAAAUUACCCAAUCCCGACGCGGGGAGGUAGUGACAAUAAAUACUGAUACAGGGCUCUUUAGGGUCUUGUAAUUGGAAUGAGUACAAUUUAAACCCCUUAACGAGGAACAAUUGGAGGGCAAGUCUGGUGCCAGCAGCCGCGGUAAUUCCAGCUCCAAUAGCGUAUAUUAAAGUUGUUGCAGUUAAAAAGCUCGUAGUUGAACCUUGGGCCAGGCUAGCCGGUCCGCCUUACCGCGUGCACUGGUUUGGCCGGGCCCUUUCCUCUGGCAAACCGCAUGCCCUUCACUGGGCGUGUCGGGGAACCAGGACUUUUACUUUGAAAAAAUUAGAGUGUUCAAAGCAGGCCUUUGCUCGGAUACAUUAGCAUGGAAUAAUAGAAUAGGACGCGUGGUUCUAUUUUGUUGGUUUCUAGAACCGCCGUAAUGAUUAAUAGGGACAGUCGGGGGCAUCAGUAUUCAGACGCGAGAGGUGAAAUUCUUAGACCGUCUGAAGACUAACUACUGCGAAAGCAUUUGCCAAGGAUGUUUUCAUUAAUCAGUGAACGAAAGUUGGGGGAUCGAAGACGAUCAGAUACCGUCGUAGUCUCAACCGUAAACUAUGCCGACUAGGGAUCGGGCGACGUUCCAAUUAUGACUCGCCCGGCACCUUACGAGAAAUCAAAGUUUUUGGGUUCUGGGGGGAGUAUGGUCGCAAGGCUGAAACUUAAGGAAAUUUGACGGAAGAAACCAGGCUUUUUGACUUCCAA
rnacentral:rRNA from 1 species